rfam:Ovis aries breed Texel chromosome 8, whole genome shotgun sequence.
UCCCUUGUGGUUCAGUCAGUAAAGCAUCUGUCUGCAAUGCAGGAGACCCGGGUUCAAUUCCUGGGUCAGGAA